GGGAGCGCAGUGCGGGAAAUCCGCAUGCUGCGUUCGACGUGGAGGGUGCUGGAAACGUGACAAGGGGAUUGUACAUAUUACCCAAGUUAACGCGCUAGCACUCGACCCUACCUGUGAGGAUCUGGAGGUGAAGCUUACUCGAC
rnacentral:autocatalytically_spliced_intron from 1 species